UUGAAAAUCAUCCCCUCCUACGAGCCAACCCUUUUUCCUUAACCCCUACUGCUUUUCCAGAUUCUUCCUUACUCGUCUCACCCUCCAAGCCUACCUUACUCGCCUUACCCCCAAGCCAUCCGAUGUUAGCGGAUUAGAUAGUGUACCAAAUCUGGAUCCCUAUCCUUUUUCCCCCUCAAAUCAACUUUCCUAUUACCAUUGACCCUUGAGUUUCGCCUAAUUUUCCUCUCAUCCACCAUCCAUGGCCCAUUGAUUGCGCUGUCCCCUCCACUUGCUGCCUGAUUUAGAGCAGAUUCCCCCCGCUCUUUUUCCACGGUCAACCUCUGCUCCGAUAAUGAACAGAUUUCUUUCGUGUGUCCAUACUUCCCACAUUUGAAACAAAUCAUGGGAAGUGAUUCAUAUUGAACCUUCUCAAGAGCUCCAUUAACCAUGACUUGUGACACAAGGGGCUUGUCAAGAUUCACAUAAACGACAAUUCUUGUGAAUUGGCCUCUAGUUCUGUUGUCUAUGUUGAAGUCCAAUCUGGCUACCUUCGCUAUAGUCCCUCUAUUUCUUCAAGAAUCCUUUUUUUUAUAAGAAACCUGAGAGUCUUGGUAGACAUAUCCAAGCCAUCACCAUGCUUGGAUAUGGUUGUAACGGAUUAAACUCUUUGGUCCAAGGUUGGACAAUCAAGUAUUGCCCAUAGAUUAUUCAAGGGCCUUGCGAUAAUACCUUCUCAAAAAAGUCUGUACGCUGAAACUUUGCCAAGUAAUAUUUGUUUUCUAUAUCCAUAAGAUGAAAGGGUUUAGAGGGUCUCCAAAGGCUACUAAUCCGAUUGUUUAAAGCUCCAUAGUCGAUGUUCCUACCUAGCAGUUUCAGAACCACCGUAGUUUCCAUUUCCUUAAAAAGGAUUCAUUGAAUCCUAUCAGAAAAAUCUUUGCAGGAAUCCAUUGAUAGUAGAUCUGUUAAUAUCUCCUUCCAGAAAUUCAAGAUCAUCAUCAUCCCCCAUGCCAGAAUUUGUCAUCGCCGUUUUAGCAAUAUUACCGGUUCCAAUCCCCAUUAGUUUGUCCUUCCAUGAUAGAUUUGGGGUCGGCCUUGGGUCAACCGUCAUUUCUGUGUUCGCCUCACCGUUGGUCUCUUCCUUCUUAGUAUUUCUAUCCACAUCUUCUUGAGAACCUUCACCAUCAUCUACUUCCAGAUGAUUCCCAUCACCACCGGAUUCCAGAGAAAUUUCCAUUUUGUUCCAAAUAAAAAGUCUUGAAACAAGAUAAUCAGUAUUCUAAAAUCCAAUUGCUGCUUCUUUGAGCAAAGCCAAAAUCCCAUUCCUGGCGUGAUUUACAAAUUGCAAAUGUAGCUUUUGUUUUUCAAAGUUUUGAUCGUUAGAAAAGUGGUUUUAUUGUUGAAUUAAUUAGCUUAAGCAUGCUUCUUUCAAUGUUAAAUUUGUUUGUUUGAUGCAACUACGGAAACUAAAUCUUUGCUGGGAUGGUGCCUUGCUCCUUCGCAUAAGAUCCCACAUCAAGGAGCGUACGCAAGAAGAGGCGAGUAGCAGGUUUUAAAUAUCGCGAUGCUUGACAGAGAUGAGCAUACCUUUCUCGGCCUUUUGGCUAAGAUCAAGUGUAGUAUCUGUUCUUAUCAGUUUAAUAUCUGAUACGUGGGCCAUUGGCUCACAUGAUAUUAAAUUUAUUUUUGAAGGGGGAGAGUCCAUCACAAUAGCUUGCUACUGGGGCUCUCGGGCGUCGCCCAGGCUUUGCACUAUAGCUCGGGUCUGGCGCACUCCACCCAAUUCCAGUUCCAAUAUUUGUAAUUAUUUCUGCAAGGUACAAAGUUAAUGGACAAUUAUGAUCAAUAAACCAGCUAUGAUUAAAGAAAUUUUCCGCUCUUGUUGUAAAGUUCCAGGCAUGUUGCUUUCGAGUUUCACAAAUUGUUCUUUAAUGUGGUUUUCUUGUUGAAAGGUGCCUUGGUUGUUGAUUCAAAUCCGAAGUGGCCCAGAACCAGUCUAUUCAGGAGGGGUUCAGUCUUUGUAGGAAAACCAGUAGGCGGCUCUUCUAUAGCUGAUUUGCAUAAAAUCCCACAUCAGGAAGAGUACGAAAGAACAGGCGAGAAGCAGGCUUUAAAUUGCCCGAUGCUUGAUGUGUAAAAGCAUACCUUUCUUGGCCUUUAGGCUAAGAUCAAGUGUAGUAUCUGUUCUUAUCAGUUUAGUAUCUGAUAUUAAAUUUAUUUUUUGAGUGGGAGAGUCAUCACAGUAGCUUGCGCACCACACCUAAUUCCAGUUCUAAAAGUUACACUUAUCCAUGCAAGGGAUAAAUUUAUCGUUGAAGAUAAUUAGUUGUGGCAACGAUGCUUACAAGUCAAAGCAGUGAUGGCCUAAUCUGGUUCGUGAUCGAGCACUGAGAAUGACCUGAAUCUAGACACCUUGGAUAAUGUUCAAUAUAAGACCCUGAAUUCAUGUGCUUGGAAUGUGGCAAUUUGUAAUUCUUUUUUCUUGUUUUGGUAUUUCCAUUUGACUUUGCAAGGUAAUGUUAACAGAACAUAAUUAACUUGUUAAUUCAACCAAUCAUUGCCUAUUUCUAUUAAUAAUAAUAGUGUUACUGUCGUGAACCAUAAAA